rnacentral:lncRNA from 1 species
AAACAAAUAGGGAAAUUUUCAUUACUUCAACUAGUACCGAUUGGUAGUAGAAAGACAUAUAUAGAUUAGUACAAGUGAGGGGAGCACUCUAUUCAGGAUUCCAAGAGAUACUCAGUUUGCUUUUUCGAUGGAAUAUAAGACUAUAUGUUUCUCAGGGGCACAUACGAAAAUGGAAUUUCUUUGUUGUACAAUACAAAAUGAAUUUAACAUAAUUCCCCCGAUAAAAUCCCUUUCCAGCUUAAAAAAUAUCUCCUUCUGGACCCGGUUUUGUUUGUGUAACCUCAAUUACUAAUGUGAAGUUGAAAAAAUCUAUUUCAUUCAAAUGACACACUGAACUUUUGAUAUAUGUGUGUCCUAGUACUAAUAACCUAGGGGGAGGGUACAAAAAAGAAGGAUAAAGAUCCAUUAAAGAUCCUACUCCUCUUAGCAUUAGCAACGGAAUGAAUCAACUUUUUCCUUCCUAUAUUUUCUAUUUUUUUUAGGAGGCCCACCAACGAAAGAACAAACCCUAAACUAAAAAAAAAUAUUGAAAUUUCAUUUGAUAGAAUAUUACUUCUUUUAUCCUCGGACUCAUCUUUAUCACACUUCUUUGUCUUCCAAGAAAAUUAGAUCAUUAAAAAACCGGAGUUUAGAACGUAACUCCUUUAUUUUUCCACUUUGCUUCUAUUGUUUGUUGGGCGUUUGUGACUAAUGGAAAGGGACGGGUGGUCAGAUAAGAUAAUACUUCAUUCGACGAUUGUACAAGGAAGACUUAAGGUAGGUUAUAGAAAAGAAAGAAAAGAAUGAAAAAUAAAGUAAUUUUUGAUUGGGCCGGGAAUCCUAUUUUGGAUUCGGUAUGGAUAAAAGAUCUUCCUAUGUUAUACUAUUCAAUUCGCGACGACAAAUUGAUUUGAUAGCUCAGAUAUUGUUAUUCAUGAUCUUGAUCCGAUUCAAGAUCAUUGAGAGGUAAUUCAUUCAUUGAAUUUAUAGGCGAAAGAUUUAUCAUCUCUAUGGGAUUAAAUCCCGAGUUAUUGUGAAGUAAAAAAAUGAUGAGAUUAUGGAACUAAAUAUUCUUGCAUUUAUU